ACAAUAAUGCCAUUGGGUCCAUUAGGCCCAAUACCUCACCUAAAAUUACUACAAAAAUGGCCAAAGAGACUACCUACAAGAGACCGGUAGAGGUUACUAACCCAUUUCUUAAAGGUAGAAAACCAUUGGUUAUCUAAAACCAGUCUUUUAAGUUUAAGUAUUUGAGUAAUAAAAAAAGUUGUUGUGAAAUAAGAGACUGCUUCCAAGUAAAACCGAUUUCCUUGAUAUAUAUUAUUUUUUAAAUUCAAUUUUUUUUUAAGAUAUUACACAAUUAUACGUCUAUAUUCUUCUUGUGAAGAUUUAAGAGGCUACUUCUAACUUGAACCGAUUUCCUAGAAAUAAUAAUUUUAAAAUUUAAUAUCUUUUCAAUUAAUACUAAUGUUGUAUAAGUUAUAUAUAUAAAUCUAUUUACUUUUAAAAUUAUGCAACAAAUACAAUCGAAAAAAAAAACUACAUCUCCUAAUAUUAUUCUACCUAUAUGAUAAUGGUUAAUACCUGGCAAAAGAAACAAAAAAAAAAAAAAACCAGAACUACGCCAUAGCUUCUUGAACAAUCUCAUAACUUAAGUCGCACACCAUCCCUACAACCACCACUCUCCAUAUUCCAAAUUCUCCCCAUAAUCCAAAUCCUUCCAUCAAAAUUCCACCUUUGCUUUCGUAAAAUUCAUAAUAAGGGCUAUCACAUUGUUCAAUUCGUCAAUUUUUGAUUCAAUUCGUCAAUUCUUUUCGUCAAUUCUUCUGGAAUUUGUGAUUCUUUUCGUCAAUUUGUGAUUCAUUUGGGAAGAAAAGAGAUUUUCGAAAAAGUAUAAAAUUAGGGAACUUAUAAAGGAAAUUGAAGCUAUUUAUUUAUGUCUGCUAUAUGGCCAAGAAGAAAAAGCAAGUGUGCUCUCAAGGUGAUCAAACCUCUUCUGAUGAUUGUGAUGUUAAAAAGUCUAAUCGUGAUGAUGAGAGGGGACGUACCGUACUCACUAAGGUGGGCAAGUCUAUUCAAAAUGGAAAUAAAAUUUAUUUAGAUUGGCAUCCAAUUCGGAGGAAUCCACGUGGUGAUAAACGCCUCACUUUUACCACCUAUAUUGGUGUAGCUACUCGAGAACGAGUGUUCAUCACCUAUUACAGUUGGAAUGAUGUUCUGGAAAUCAAAUUAUACGAGUUAUAUGAUAUAAUCACGAAGGGGUUCACAGUACAAAAAGACCACAGAAAAUGGACCUUGUCUCGUGCUAAUGAUCGAUGGAGGGCUUUCAACACAAGAUUAAGAAAGUUAUGGUUGUUAAGGAAGUCCACUGGAAGGUUGAGAAAAAAACCACCAUGGAAAUAUUCUUUUAUCCUUCAACCUGCUUGGGAUAAAUUUAAGGAAAUGUGCACUACCGAAAAGUUCAAGUUUUCAUAAUAUUUAAUAUUAUUUCAUAGUUUUUAUGUUGGUUAUGCAAAUAGAAUAUUAUGUGUUCUAAGUUCUAACUAUGUAUCUAUACUAUUUCAAGGAGCUUAUUAGCGAGGAAAGUCGAAAACGAUCAAGUCUGAAAGUUUCAAGCUAUCUCUAAUACCCCGAAUUUUCAAAGCUUAUUUUAUUAUUUAUUAAAGUUUAAUAUUAUUCUA